rnacentral:rRNA from 1 species
GACGAACGCUGGCGGCGUGCUUAACACAUGCAAGUCGAGCGGAGCGGCGAACGGGUGAGUAACGCGUGAGUAACUGCCCCCCUCUCUGGGAUAACAGUUGGAAACGGCUGCUAAUACCGGAUAGUGGGGGAUGACUGGGGGCCUAUCGGCUUGUUGGUGGGGUAGUGGCCUACCAAGGCGACGACGGGUAGCCGGCCUGAGAGGGCGACCGGCCACAGGGGGCUGAGGUACGGAGCAAAGGGCUACGGGGGGCAGCGGUGGGGAGUAUUGCACAAUGGGGGAGACCCUGAUGCAGCAACGCGCGUGCGGGAUGACGGGCUUCGGGUGGUAAACCGCUUUCGGCCAUGACGCGGUAGUGGCAGAAGAAGCACCGGCUAACUACGUGCCAGCAGCCGCGGUAAUAC